rnacentral:rRNA from 1 species
AUUGAACGCUGGCGGCAUGCUUUACACAUGCAAGUCGAACGGCCGCGCGGGCUUCGGCCUGGCGUCGUGUUGCCAACGGGCGGGUAAUUCAUCGGAGCGUGCCCUGCCGUGGGGGCUAGCCCGGCUACAGCCGGCUUUAUCCCGCAUACGACCUGAUGUUGAACGCCGGGGACCGAAAGUCCUCGCGCUUUUUGCUCGCCCGUUGUGGGAUUAGCUAGUUGGUGUGGUAAAGGCUUACCAAGGCGACGAUCCGUAGCUGGUCUGAGAGGACGACCUGCCACACUGGGACUGAGACACGGCCCAGACUCCUACGGGAGGCAGCAGUGGGGAAUUUUGGACAAUGGGGGCAAGCCUGAUCCAGCCAUGCCGCGUGAGGGAAGAAGGCCUUCGGGUUGUAAACCGCUUUUGUUCGGGAAGAAAACCCCUGGGCUAAUACCCCGGGGGGAUGACGGUACCGGAAGAAUAAGCACCGGCUAACUACGUG